rnacentral:rRNA from 1 species
UUGGAGGGCAAGUCUGGUGCCAGCAGCCGCGGUAAUUCCAGCUCCAAUAGCGUAUAUUAAAGUUGCUGCAGUUAAAAAGCUCGUAGUUGAAUUUCGGGACUAUCAUGUCGGUCGUGCCUCGGUACGUACUGGUAUUGUUGGUUUCUCCCUUCUGACGAACCAUGAUGUCAUUUAUUUGGUGUUGUGGGGAAUCAGGACUGUUACUUUGAAAAAAUUAGAGUGUUUAAAGCAGGCUCACGCUUGAAUACGUUAGCAUGGAAUAAUGAAAUAGGACGUUUGAUUCUAUUUUGUUGGUUUCUAGGAUCGACGUAAUGAUUAAUAGGGAUAGUUGGGGGCAUUAGUAUUCAAUUGUCAGAGGUGAAAUUCUUGGAUUUAUUGAAGACUAACUACUGCGAAAGCAUUUGCCAAGGAUGUUUUCAUUAAUCAAGAACGAAAGUUAGGGGAUCGAAGACGAUCAGAUACCGUCGUAGUCUUAACCAUAAACUAUGCCGACUAGGGAUCGGAUGAUGUUAAUUUUUUAAUGACUCAUUCGGCGCCUUACGGGAAAC